rnacentral:rRNA from 1 species
GACGAACGCUGGCGGCGUGCUUAACACAUGCAAGUCGAACGGAAAGGCCCUGCUUUUGUGGGGUGCUCGAGUGGCGAACGGGUGAGUAACACGUGAGUAACCUGCCCUUGACUUUGGGAUAACUUCAGGAAACUGGGGCUAAUACCGGAUAGGAGCUCCUGCUGCAUGGGGGGGGGUGGAAAGUUUCGGCGGUUGGGGAUGGACUCGCGGCUUAUCAGCUUGUUGGUGGGGUAGUGGCUUACCAAGGCUUUGACGGGUAGCCGGCCUGAGCGGGUGACCGGCCACAUUGGGACUGAGAUACGGCCCAGACUCCUACGGGAGGCAGCAGUGGGGAAUAUUGCACAAUGGGCGGAAGCCUGAUGCAGCAACGCCGCGUGCGGGAUGACGGCCUUCGGGUUGUAAACCGCUUUCGCCUGUGACGAAGCGUGAGUGACGGUAAUGGGUAAAGAAGCACCGGCUAACUACGUG